UUCUGAUUUGUUUGCAAGUUCCUGUUGAUCUGGUUCUUGUUUGUAAUGAAAAACUCCUUUUUGGAUUUUCUUUGGUCUCUUGUUUUUUGGAAUUUCCUGGUUCUUGAAUUUUAUUGAUUUUUAUUAACUAGACUUUUAAAUUUUGUAUAAUUUUGAAUGCCUUUCUUGGUUUUUAAUUGGUGUGGAAUAUCCUUUCAAAUGUAUAUGGACGUGAAUUAAUUUUCAUGUUCCUGAUGUAUUAAAAGAUUUUUCAUUUACUUUCUAUGUUUCCCCUCUGAAAUUUGUGGCAUGAACAACAACAAUAUUUUUCCAAUACUAGUACUCUAUACAUACAGCUUUGUGGAUUUGAUGUAUGGGUAUUGGGUUUUUUUGGGGUUUACACGGAGAGUGGCUUUUGGGGCUUUGUCUUUGGUUUCCAUCUUGAUAUUAGGCAUGUUUUUUCAUUGUGGGGUUUAGGAGUCUUACCAUUAUUGACAACAUAAACAUGAUCUUCAGCUUCAAUAUUUUACUAGAUUUUCUGUGAUAUAUUCUGAUGGAUUCCUCAGAUUUUUCAAUAAAAUUUUGUAGGUGAUUUUGUUGUUGGUAGUUAAUGUUUAUUUGUUCAUCACAAUAAUCAACUUAAUUUUAUUUUUGAUUUUUUCUCUGAUCUCUUACUCUCUUACAUAUUUAUUCCCAUUCUGUGCAAAAAUAAAGAGAGAUGCUUGUUGUCUACCGUCUUCAACUGAUACGGAGAUGCUGUUUUCUGUUGCAGGUUUUUUGUUUUCAAACUUCAACGGUUAAAUAAUUCAUACAAAAAAGUUGAUUUGUAUAUUGUUGUGUUUGGAACUUGAAGCUUUAAAGGUCACAAAAGGGUCUAGUGGUAUGAAUCCUUAAAAAAAUGGAAAACAAAUGUAACAAAGUGAUCAGCAAGUUAAGGGAAGAAAAUAUAAAUAUAUAGAGAAAGAGUGAGGUGGAGUCAGAUUUGUGCUUGUGGGUGUUACUGAUUUGAGAAAUAUUUUAGUGUUAAUAGCCUGUUGGUUAUGUCUCCUUGGCUAACUGGGUGCGCCCAGGCUCCGUGGGCUUUGCCGCUGACCAAGGAAACAGCCUCUUAUUUGGCUCUCUUGGCAUUGAAGAGAACCUUUUGUUUAAAAAUUGGACAAACCCCAUCUUGUGUUUCCCUUUAUCUCUUUCUCUCUCUUACUCAGACUCACUUCUUUCUUUUGCCUCGGUUGUUGUCAAAGAUUCUCAUAGUCAUACUCAUACCCCCACAAGCAUAUAUCCUCACCCCUCUUUGAGAUCCUUCUUUGAUCCCCACACUCUGGGAGUAUUCCUUUCAAUUUCUGGGACUUCUUUGAUUGGGGUUGUUUUUAUUUAUGUUCACUUAUUGGGAUGUGUGGUGGUGACUCUGAUGUAUCUGAUUUAGGCAUUUAGUACUACAAGUUGAGCGUUGAAGAAGGUUAGUUUUAGAGGUAUAAGAGGGGCUGUAGCAAGUUGAUCUUUUUUUGCUUAUAAAGAUGAAGUUUAUGAAACUUGGAUCAAAGCCAGAUUCCUUUCAGACUGAUGGGAACAAUGUCAGGUUAAUGUGCAAGGAGCUUCACUACUAAUGUUAUUGCCAUUUAUCUCACACAACCACUAAGCCCCAAGUACACCUAACCUAGAACCCUCUCUAUCCCAAGUAGACCUUAUAUAACCAGGUUGUUGCAACAGGAAGUAGAGUAGUACCUUUUAAUCUAGUCAUGCUAUAAUUGUUGAACCAAUGUUAUUGUCUUGUUUACUAAAUAGGUAUCUGACAAGCAACUUGCUCACUGGGAUUAUUCUAGGGUGGAUCAAGGACAAAGAUAGUUGCUAGUAUGGGUUUUCAUCCUAAAUUCUAGAAGAAUAUAUCAUAAUCUGGGUGUGUAUAUAUAUAUAUGUAUAUAUAUUUAACAUGAUGUUAUAAAUAUUACUCUGGAGUCUGGACGGUGAUUCAUCUCAUGAUUUCUUUAGGGGUUAGUUGCACAUCUCUCUCUCUCUCUCUCUCUUUGGAUGAUUAAUUGGCUUGUGCUAUGGAUAAAUAACAAAUUUUACUGGCAGCUUUUAUUUUCAUCUUGUUGCCUGUGGCUCUAGUAAAAAUUAGUUGCCGGAAAAAUUACUUUCCAAGUUAUGUUGGUUGUCUGAUAUUUGGGAAGAUCAUUCUGACGGAUAAAUUUCGAGCUGGCUACAGAAGCUCAGUGGAAUGAGCUGAAUUGAUCUUGCGUUAACAUUGACAAGCCAGAUUUGUAUUUAAAGGAAUAGUGCAAUAUGGAAGAUAGCUUGGAAUGCUGAUUUAGACUACAUGUUUCAUGUUUUCAAUAAAACUACACUAAGGACGAUAUCAAUUAGCCAAAAUCCUUCAUUUUGAAGCUAAUUUAGUGAAGAAAGCCUAGAUCGAAGGCAUUGAAUGACAGUUAAAUUAGUUAAAAUAUCAAAAGGCCUUAUUUCAAGGUUGUUUAUGGAUUAUUGAAAUGAUUUAUUUUAACAAUUUUCUGUACAUAUCAAAUUUUUUCUAUUGAAUUUUUUAUGUUAAAGUACUCUUAAAAGGUACCUUUUUGUUCUUGUUUAGAGUUAUGUUGAGUUAUGAUAAUUAUGUUUUUUGUGCAGCCAAAUAGAUCUUUCUUACAAUAAUUUGUUAUAGAGCUCUGCACCACCUUGUCGAGACUCUUUAUUUCAGUCCCCCUGUUGAUGGCAAGAUUGUGGUUGGAGCUGUAGUUUCGGUGCUACUCCUCAUUUUUAUGAUUUUAGGCAUUCUUUGGUGGAAGAGCUGUAUAGGAGGGAGGAUAUCAAGGGAAAAAGGUCCUGUAGGUGGCCGAUUAAAAUUGGAUUGGCCUGCAAGGCAGAAAAUAUGUGCUAGCAUAGCAAGAGGUCUGGCUUUCUUACAUUAGGAAUCAAUACCGAAAAUUGUUCAUAGAGGCAUCAAAUCUGCUAAUAUAUUACUUGAUGGUGACCUUAAUCCUAAGAUCUCUAACUUUGGUUUGGCCAAGCUUUAUGAAGAGGAGAAUACCCGCAUCAGCACCAUAAUUCCUGGAACCAUAUAUUGAUCUUAUGGUCUCUAGUGUGUGCUGCUGCGCAGAAUAUGGUAGUACUUAUUUCAAUGAAGUCCUUGCACAAAGACAAGUAUGUAAAGAAUGAGGUAAGUAUGGGCCAUGGUACAUUUGACAAUUUAAUUUGUAUGUGUUUGGUAUCUACGUGUGAUACAUAACCAUGCUUAUAGAAAGUCUUUGCAGCAUGGUUUCACAUCAGAUAGGGUUCAUGCUUCUUUAUCUAUAAGACAAAGUGACACCCUUUAAUUUAUAGUGUUGAAGAUUUUCUAUACCACUUUACUCAUCUACAUAAAUAUAUAAACCGAAGCUUUAGAAACUUUUACAAUUUUCCAUGUCAGCACAAUAUUUAAAUAAAAUCUAUAUAUAUAAAUAUAAAACCGA